rnacentral:rRNA from 1 species
AACGAACGCUGGCGGCAUGCCUAACACAUGCAAGUCGAACGAGACCUUCGGGUCUAGUGGCGCACGGGUGCGUAACGCGUGGGAACCUGCCCUUAGGUUCGGAAUAACUCCCCGAAAGGGGUGCUAAUACCGGAUAAUGUCUUCGGACCAAAGAUUUAUCGCCUUUGGAUGGGCCCGCGUUGGAUUAGCUAGUUGGUAGGGUAAAAGCCUACCAAGGCGACGAUCCAUAGCUGGUCUGAGAGGAUGAUCAGCCACACUGGGACUGAGACACGGCCCAGACUCCUGCGGGAGGGAGGAGUGGGGAAUAUUGGACAAUGGGCGAAAGCCUGAUCCAGCAAUGCCGCGUGAGUGAUGAAGGCCUUAGGGUUGUAAAGCUCUUUUACCCGGGAUGAUAAUGACAGUACCGGGAGAAUAAGCUCCGGCUAACUCCGUG